CAGCUUGCUGGGUUGAUUAGUGGCGAACGGGUGAGUAACACGUGAGUAACCUGCCCAUCACUCUGGGAUAACUCCGGGAAACCGGUGCUAAUACCGGGUAUGACUCCGAUCCGCAUGGGUACGGGGUGGAAAGAUUUAUCGGUGGUGGAUGGACUCGCGGCCUAUCAGCUUGUUGGUGGGGUAAUGGCCUACCAAGGCGACGACGGGUAGCCGGCCUGAGAGGGUGACCGGCCACACUGGGACUGAGACACGGCCCAGACUCCUACGGGAGGCAGCAGUGGGGAAUAUUGCACAAUGGGCGGAAGCCUGAUGCAGCGACGCCGCGUGCGGGAUGACGGCCUUCGGGUUGUAAACCGCUUUCAGCUCUGACGAAGCUUUUGUGACGGUAGGAGCAGAAGAAGCACCGGCUAACUACGUGCCAGCAGCCGCGGUAAUACGUAGGGUGCGAGCGUUGUCCGGAAUUAUUGGGCGUAAAGAGCUUGUAGGCGGCUUGUCGCGUCUGCUGUGAAAGCCCGGGGCUUAACCCCGGGUCUGCAGUGGGUACGGGCGGGCUAGAGUGUGGUAGGGGAGACUGGAAUUCCUGGUGUAGCGGUGGAAUGCGCAGAUAUCAGGAGGAACACCGAUGGCGAAGGCAGGUCUCUGGGCCAUUACUGACGCUGAGAAGCGAAAGCGUGGGGAGCGAACAGGAUUAGAUACCCUGGUAGUCCACGCCGUAAACGUUGGGCGCUAG
rnacentral:rRNA from 1 species